GUCUCAACCUGUGGCACAAUGGGCCAAUGUAUCUGUUUGUUAACCAGAAGGUUGGUGGUUCAAGCCCACCCAGGGGCA